rnacentral:rRNA from 1 species
GAUGAACGCUGGCGGCGUGCCUAAUACAUGCAAGUCGAGCGAACAGACGAGGAGCUUGCUCCUCUGACGUUAGCGGCGGACGGGUGAGUAACACGUGGAUAACCUACCUAUAAGACUGGGAUAACUUCGGGAAACCGGAGCUAAUACCGGAUAAUAUAUUGAACCGCAUGGUUCAAUAGUGAAAGACGGUUUUGCUGUCACUUAUAGAUGGAUCCGCGCCGCAUUAGCUAGUUGGUAAGGUAACGGCUUACCAAGGCAACGAUGCGUAGCCGACCUGAGAGGGUGAUCGGCCAUACUGGAACUGAGACACGGUCCAGACUCCUACGGGAGGCAGCAGUAGGGAAUCUUCCGCAAUGGGCGAAAGCCUGACGGAGCAACGCCGCGUGAGUGAUGAAGGUCUUCGGAUCGUAAAACUCUGUUAUUAGGGAAGAACAGAUGUGUAAGUAACUAUGCACGUCUUGACGGUACCUAAUCAGAAAGCCACGGCUAACUACGUG